rnacentral:snoRNA from 1 species
CUACCCGCUGUGACGAUGCAUUACGGAUGUAAAAGAGUCAAAGACUCGCCUGUCCGAGAGCGCAUAAACCUCGUGUGGACUUCUCCGUUGCCUUCCUUCUGAGCUCUAUU